UACAGAGGCCUCGAGCGUUAGGCGGAAUCACUGGGCUUAAAGCGUGUGUAGGCGGAUCGUUAAGUACCUUGUGAAAUCCCACGGCUCAACCGUGGAACUGCUUGGUAUACUGGCGGUCUUGUGCAACCUAGGGGCGAGCGGAACAGAUGGUGGAGCGGUGAAAUGCGUAGAUAUCAUCUGGAACGCCAAUGGUGAAAACAGCUCGCUGGGGGUUUGCAG
rnacentral:rRNA from 1 species